CCAGUAUCAAAAAAAAAAGUAACUAAGACAUUUAUAUAUUGGGUUUUUCAUAUAAGAGAAACCAUGUGAGCUUAUUUGUCUGAUUUACUUCACUUAGUAUUAUGGUCCCAAAGGGCAUUCAUUUUCCUACAAAUGACUCGUUUAUCCUUUGUUAUGGCAGAGUAGUACUCCAUUGUGUAUAAAUACCAUGUUUUAAAUCCAUCCAUCUGUUGAUGGACACAUAGGUUGCUGUAUUCAUUGUAAUAUGAUGUCUUUAACUCUUUCAGGAAGAUACCUAGAAGGGGAAUAGCUGGGUCAAAUGGAAUUUCUAUUUUUACUUUUCUGAGGAAUCUUCAUACUCAUUUCCUUAGUGGUGGUACCAGUUUACACUCCUACCAACAGUGAAGAAGAGUUCCUUUUUCUCCAAGGCUUCUCCAGCAUUUGAUAAACACUACUGACAUUACUAAAUAUCUUAAUGCACACGACAAGAUUGCUUCAAUGAAAACAGAAGUGUGAGAACUGCAUGAAGAGUUGAUCACAGGACUAUGAGUCAUCAUGCCAGGGCCUUUAGGUUAUAAAAAUUACAGCAUGGAUAAAGAAUAUUAAUCAUCAGCUACCUUUCUUCAACCAAAAACUCCUGGAAUAUCUUUAAUGCUUCAGAGAUGAGCAGCAGACAAUUUAAAAGAAAGGAUAAAGGAUGCAACCGAGCUGUUUCUAUGUGACUCGAGUCUUGAAAGAUUGUAUUGUGGCACAAUAAAAAUGUCCUUGCAGGCUGUAGAGGUAGAAAAUUGGGUUAACCUAUCUUUAAUACAGAAACUAAUUUUCAGUAAUACCCACAUUUUUAGUCUUGUGUUUUCUUUUUCUUUUUUUUUUUUUUUGGUGCCAGGAUCAAACUCGGGACCUUGCGUUUUGUGAGGCAGAUGCUGAACCACUGAGCUAAAUCUCCUGCCCUAGUCUUGUGUUUUCUUAUUUAUUUAAUGUUCAGGGCUGCUGUGGAUUGUAUUCAGGGCCUCAGGCAAGCUAAGCACACACCAAAGCACUGAGCUAUACCACCAGCCCCUCCCCUCUUUUUUUUGUACCGGGAUCGAAGUCGGAACCUUGCGCUGCCUAGGCAGGCACCUGAACCACUGAGCUAAAUCCCCACCCCCGCUCCUUUUGCUUUUUUGAGAAAAGGUCUGGCUAUACAGUUCAGGCUGUCCUUGAACUCACUGCAGUUCUCCUGCCUCAUCCACCCAAGUGCUGAGAUGAUAGGCAUGCACCACGCCACCUGGCUUCUCUUAACCUUUUGAUGUAGCUUUGGCAGAUAGAAUCAUGCUUGAAGCUAGAGGCUGCCAGCUUUCAACUAGUAGUUGCUAGUGAAACUUUGGUACAGUGAGGAUAAGAUGUUGUUGGCAUAGUGUAAUGUAAAAUAAAACAGUAAAACAUAGUCUGGUUUUUUGUUUUUGUUUUUUUUUAGACAAGAGUCUCACUCUGUAGUCUAGGCUGGCCUGGAAGUUGUUAAGUAGUUCAAACUGGUCUCAAACUCAAGCUCCUCCUGCCUCAGCUUCCCCAACUGCUGGGAAUAUAGGUAUACAGUCUUAAAAUGUUGGAAACAGCACCAUGCCUGCCUCAUAAGCACAAGGUCAUGAGUUUGAUCCCCAGUGCCAGAAAAAAAAAAAAAAGUUGGAAACUGGGCAUGGUGGUGUACACCUGUAAUCUCAGGACUCUGGGAGGCUGAGGCAGG
ensembl:lncRNA